rnacentral:sRNA from 15 species
CUGAACAACCCACCACUAAAUCUUAGAUUAUAGUGGGGGCUUGAAAAACAAGUCCAUAGUUGACCCGCCUAAGUUUUAAUUAACUACGUUAUCUCGGUCAAGAUACCAAAGAAUACUUCACCAGUUCUUUGCAAAGAUC